rnacentral:ncRNA from 2 species
CGAUAUCCUAAGGGGUGGCAUGAUCACAUGCCUGAGAUGCGCCUGGCGAACCCUUUGAACCUGAUCCGGAUGAUGCCGGCGUAGGAAUAGGAAACCACUCUGAG